rnacentral:rRNA from 1 species
UACGUAGGGUGCGAGCGUUGUCCGGAAUUAUUGGGGCGUAAAAGGGGCUCGUAGGCGGUUUGUCGCGUCGGGAGUGAAAUCCACUGGCUUAACUGGUUGCUUGCUUUCGAUACGGGCAGGACUGGAGGUAUGCAGGGGGAGAACGGAAUUCCCUGGUGUAGCGGUGAAAUGCGCAGAUAUCAGGAGGAACACCGAUGGCGAAGGCAGCUCGCUGGGACGAUGACUGACGCUGAGACGCGAAAGCGUGGGGAGCAAACAGG